rnacentral:lncRNA from 1 species
AUGGACCACCCACCCACCCACAAACGCAGAGGUUCUCCUUGUCAGAUCCGCCUGUACCUCACAGCUUCAUUGCUUGCUGAUUCCCAGCUCCAGGCAGACAGGAUGCAGGUUCACAGAUGGACACCUCGGUGCUUUUUUCCAUUAGUGCCUCCAGGACACAGUAUGAUCCUUCCUGCCCCUGGACAUCUCCUGCUACAGACCCAGAGGGAAACCAGGUUCCACGCUGGCAAAGCUUCUGAACGGGCAGUGGAAACCCAGCAGGAUGAGGGGCACCCUUGGGCACUGACACAGCUUUUGUUGAUUGGGUUGGACUCAGGAGGAAAGCAGUUGUAUUUCAGUGCACGGCCGAAGCAUGGUGAGCCCUCAGGACGCCCCACUGGUGUGGAUACUUUGUCUGUAAAAUUGGUAAUGGUAGGCAAUCCCCCCAGGUUCUCCUCAGCUGCCCUAAGCAUGGGCAUCUUGUCGGAGCAGCCCAGCUUCCUACAGAAAAACUACAAGAAUACCACUUUAAGAAUAAAACAUUUUAAAGGAUCUUUAGGGCAAAAUUCUCCAGAUGCACAAAACAGCAAAUGACUGCCUUUGAUAGAAGUAUGCAGUGCAAAGCUCUGGCCCUUCAGGUGUCUCUAAGAGCUCACAUCAGGCACAGUCAAUCCUUGGGGCUCUGUAGGAGGUCAGCUGCAAGUCCACCUUCCCGUGAACAAAACCCCAGAGGUUGAGGGAAAGCUUCGCAGCAGAUUGGCCAAAGUGCCCACUGUUUACUUUGCUGAAAAUAAGCUGAAAUCGCACAUUAAAACACCUAGGAACUUCAGAAGAUGAGUCUGUCCACGCUGGAUUUAACUUGAAAUGUGCAAUGAAGAAAAGACCAAGUGCAAGAGCUCAAAUCUUUCUUCCUAGUCUCUAUUUAGCUACACCAAUAAGCUACACGUUUUUAAGACUGUUUUUAUUAGUUCUACCCUAAUUUUGCUGCUUUUUUUUAACAUAGAAGUGGUGUAAAAACCUUAUGAAAACACAAUGCUGAAGAACUGCUGCUUAAAAACGGAUUGCUCACUGUUUUUCUUUAUUGAUGACAGAGCAGAAAAAAGCAUGGAGAGCACUACUAAACUAAAUUGCUGGUUGUAAAUAUGUCUACUUACACUGAGUGAAAGUGCAAAGGACUCUUCAAUUUUUAUAGUAAAAAAAAUAAAAUCACUAAUUCUUUAUCUUCUUUGCAUUGAAUUCUAAAGUGAGUAUAAUAAUUUUUAACAAGAACAUAUUUUCAUAAUGAAUUCAGAUACAUAUUGCUCAGAAAUAUACUGAGAUUUUUAUACAGGUAGAUAAGUAUUUUUCAGCAGUAGAAGAAUGACGAUUAUUCAACACUGGUUCUGCAGCUGGGACAGGUGCCUGGCUGGUGGCCAAACACCCUGUGACAACCUCCCUUCUUGCUGCUAGCACAGGAGUUUAUCUCCUUGUCAGUGCCCUCAGCUCCUAAUGUAAAGCACCUGCUGGGAAGAGAAAAGAAUGUAACAGAAAGAGCCAAUACAGAGCCAACAGACUUUGCCAAUACAGAACCGCUUUUGGUGCCCGCAUUUUAUGUCCCAGGUCUCUCACACUCCUGCUUCAGUGGGAAUUACAUCUUUCAGCAUUUUGCUUAUUUUGAAUUCUUUUCUUUUCCGCUCUGCAGUACUAUGAGCAAUUGCCAUCUGCUUUCAGGCUUCCUUCAGUUUAGCACGUAAUUCAAGGCUUUAUUGGCCAACGGUUAGCAACACCCAGGUCAUCUCUUUUUAGCUGGGAAUGAGGGCAGGGGCUUCCUCCCCUGUUUCUCCCUGCCUUUGAAAAGGGAAAAGCUGUGUGAUGUCAGGCUGAUUGCCUCCUCCCUUGGAAAAAGCCAGGGGCUGAGUGGACACACGAAAGGGCAAUUGCUGUCUUGGCCUUUUCUACUACCUCAAACAUCACCAAAAACAAAACAAAACAAACAAAAAAAAAAAAUCAAGGGAAAAAUGUACUCUCAGGCUCCCCAAUCCCAUAAACAUGUCCUCAGCCCUGAAAAGGUUAAAGUGGAGGAGGGAAAGGCCACAGGGUGGUGACCUGCCUGCUGACAGUGCCGACCUCCACCUGGAGCAGCCGGGCUGUGCCUGCACCUCCAGCACCAGCACCCCCAGGCAGGAAUGUGGGACCCAGGCCAGCCUGCAGGUAGUUUUCCAGCUCUUCUCAUCUAUCUUUGUAANNNNNNNNNNAUAAAAUUCUGCCUGUUUGUGUUUUGAAGACAAUUCCUGCUUGUCGAAGUGCCCGGUUUCUGGGCUUCUCAGGUCACUAGCUGCUUGCUUGGUUGCGUAGCAACUUUUGUCUCUGCCUGCAGGCGCCGAAGGCCACAUGUUGCAUGAAAUAAUUGAAGGGUUUCUUGCUUCAGAAGAACUGAAAUCCAAGCUGUCCGUUUUGCACUUUGUUCCCUGCACUGUUCUCUGAUCCCAACCUCCCACCUGGACAAAAAGGGAUAUUUUUAGCACUGAAAUCACAGGUCUAUAAUUUGUUUCCCCCCCCCUUCACAGGACACAGUAUGAUCCUUCCUGCCCCUGGACAUCUCCUGCUACAGACCCAGAGGGAAACCAGGUUCCACGCUGGCAAAGCUUCUGAACGGGCAGUGGAAACCCAGCAGGAUGAGGGGCACCCUUGGGCACUGACACAGCUUUUGUUGAUUGGGUUGGAUUCAGGAGGAAAGCAGUUGUAUUUCAGUGUACGGCCGAAGUGUGGUGAGCCCUCAGGAUGCCCCACUGGUGUGGAUACUUUGUCUGUAAAAUUGGUAAUGGUAGGCAAUCCCCCCAGGUUCUCCUAAGCUGCCCUAAGCAUGGCCAUCUUGUCGGAGCAGCCCAGCUUCCUAUAGAAAAACUACAAGAAUAUCACUUUAAGAAUAAAACAUUUUAAAGGAUCUUUAGGGCAAAAUUCUCCAGAUGCACAAAACAGCAAAUGACUGCCUUUGAUAGAAGUAUGCAGUGCAAAGCUCUGGCCCUUCAGGUGUCUCUAAGAGCUCACAUCAGGCACAGUCAAUCCUCAGGGCUCUGUAUCAGGUCAGCUGCAAGUCCACCUUCCCGUGCUGUGGACAUGAGCAGCAAACAAAACCCCAGAGGUUGAGGGAAAGCUUCGCAGCAGAUUGGCCAAAGUGCCCACUGUUUACUUUGCUGAAAAUAAGCUGAAAUCGCACAUUAAAACACCUAGGAACUUCAGAAGAUGAGUCUGUCCACGCUGGAUUUAACUUGAAAUGUGCAAUGAAGAAAAGACCAAGUGCAAGAGCUCAAAUCUUUCUUCCUAGUCUCUAGCUACACCAAUAAGCUACACAUUUUUAAGACUGUUUUUAUUAGUUCUACCCUAAUUUUGCUGCUUUUUUUUUAACAUAGAAGUGGUGUAAAAACCUUAUAAAAACACAAUGCUCAAGAACUGCUGCUUAAAAAUUGAUUGCUCACUGUUUUUCUUUAUUGAUGACAGAGCAGAAAAAAGCAUGGAGAGCACUACUAAACUAAAUUGCUGGUUGUAAAUAUGUCUACUUACACUGAGUGAAAGUGCAAAGGACUCUUAGAUUUUUAUAGUAAAAAAAAAAAUAAAUCACUAAUUCUUUAUCUUCUUUGCAUUGAAUUCUAAAGUGAGUAUAAUAAUUUUUAACAAGAACAUUUUAUCAUAAUGAAUUCAGAUACAUAUUGCUCAGAAAUAUACUGAGAUUUUUAUACAGGUAGAUAAGUAUUUUUCAGCAGUAGAAGAAUGACGAUUAUUCAACACUGGUUCUGCAGCUGGGACAGGUGCCUGGCUGGUGGCCAAACACCCUGUGACAACCUCCCUUCUUGCUGCUAGCACAGGAGUUUAUCUCCUUGUCAGUGCCCUCAGCUCCUAAUGUAAAGCACCUGCUGGGAAGAGAAAAGAAUGUAACAGAAAGAGCCAAUACAGAGCCAACAGACUUUGCCAAUACAGAACCGCUUUUGGUGCCCGCAUUUUAUGUCCCAGGUCUCUCACACUCCUGCUUCAGUGGGAAUUACAUCUUUCAGCAUUUUGCUUAUUUUGAAUUCUUUUCUUUUCCGCUCUGCAGUACUAUGAGCAAUUGCCAUCUGCUUUCAGGCUUCCUUCAGUUUAGCACGUAAUUCAAGGCUUUAUUGGCCAACGGUUAGCAACACCCAGGUCAUCUCUUUUUAGCUGGGAAUGAGGGCAGGGGCUUCCUCCCCUGUUUCUCCCUGCCUUUGAAAAGGGAAAAGCUGUGUGAUGUCAGGCUGAUUGCCUCCUCCCUUGGAAAAAGCCAGGGGCUGAGUGGACACACGAAAGGGCAAUUGCUGUCUUGGCCUUUUCUACUACCUCAAACAUCACCAAAAACAAAACAAAACAAACAAAAAAAAAAAAUCAAGGGAAAAAUGUAAUCUCAGGCUCCCCAAUCCCAUAAACAUGUCCUCAGCCCUGAAAAGGUUAAAGUGGAGGAGGGAAAGGCCACAGGGUGGUGACCUGCCUGCUGACAGUGCCGACCUCCACCUGGAGCAGCCAGGCUGUGCCUGCACCUCCAGCACCAGCACCCCCGGGCAGGAAUGUGGGACCCAGGCCAGCCUGCAGGUAGUUUCCCAGCUCUUCUCAUCUAUCUUUGUAAGUAAUAGCCGGAGACCAAGGAAUAUAUUUGUGUAGCCUAUCAGUAAUAUGCAAUUUUUAUGUUUGUGGGUGAAGAUAAAUAUUUGUGCUAAUUAGUAAGUAUUGAUUUUAGAGGGAAUUAGGUAACUAAACAUUUUUUUAAAUCAUCCUUCAGCUGCAGGGUGUAGCAAUCCCAUGUGCAGAAUAUUUAGCAGUGCAAAAAUGGCCGGUUCCUGAUCACCCUGAGGACACAGAGGCGAUUAAAAUUAUCUCAGAAACAGUUUGUUUUGUUAAAAGCCAACAUGCUCCAGAAGAUUCAUUCCACCCACAUCCUUCCCAGCUGUCAAACACCCCCCGAGCACACACAGACACCCGCUGUGGGCAGGAGGCUGGCUGGAGUGUCUUGGGAGCUGGCAUUUAGAUGAAGCAGUUGUAAAAUUCUCCG